rnacentral:rRNA from 1 species
AUUGAACGCUGGCGGCAUGCCUUACACAUGCAAGUCGAACGGCAGCACGGGAGCAAUCCUGGUGGCGAGUGGCGAACGGGUGAGUAAUAUAUCGGAACGUGCCCAGUCGUGGGGAUAACGUAGCGAAAGCUACGCUAAUACCGCAUACGAUCUAUGGAUGAAAGCGGGGGAUCGCAAGACCUCGCGCGACUGGAGCGGCCGAUAUCAGAUUAGGUAGUUGGUGAGGUAAAGGCUCACCAAGCCGACGAUCUGUAGCUGGUCUGAGAGGACGACCAGCCACACUGGGACUGAGACACGGCCCAGACUCCUACGGGAGGCAGCAGUGGGGAAUUUUGGACAAUGGGCGCGAAGCCUGAUCCAGCAAUGCCGCGUGCAGGAUGAAAGGGCCUU